AAGGCUUCAGCACGACCCAGUCAGAACUAUAAGUCUCAAAGCCCCGAUGAGUAGGGUGGCGUGCCGGUGCGCGUUGAAGGCCAAGACGUGAGUCAGGCUGGAGCCGCCGGUAGUGCAGAUCUUGGUGGUAGUAGCAAGUACUCUGGUGAACCAACCUGGAGCUGUGAGGUCUGGAUUAGGGUUCCAUGUCAACAGUGAUUGAACAUGGGUGAGUCGAACCUAAGCCAACUGUGAAAGCAGUGACAUCCCGACAAAGGGGCACAUACACCCCCAAUCAAAGCUCUCGUAUUGCUCUCUCUCUCUCUCCUCCUCCUCACUAUGACACGAUAAGAUAUACAUGUGACACACGGCACAUGUCUGGCUCUGGUUCUGGUUACGCUCAUAAGCGUUGGCGCAAACAAUGUGGAUAAACGAUGCAUGGCAUACAAAACAAAGAGAGAGAGAAACGGAGUUGGGUGAGCGUGAGUGCACUCCUGCGUUGGUUCUAUGUCCGGCGAAAGGGAAUGGGGACUUUGUUCCUUGACCGGUCCUGGCACCCUCGAUUGGCUUUGCCAAUUAAUGGUCCAUGCAAAUGGAACCAGCCCACAGCCGUUGGCAGUCGCCCGAGGAAGAGUUUUCUUUUCUGCUUAACGCACGAGGUCAUCCCUGGAAACAGUUCGGCUGGCGAAAGGGUGCCCCGCUGCGGCAGAGCGCCACGACUGUCGUGCGCGUCUCGGUGUUCCUGCUGAUCCGUGAAGACGUGGUCGAGGGGAAUGCUCUUGUAUCAACGAAACGCCUGACAAGUUCGGGACGGACCGUACCCUAUAUCCGCAUCUGGUCUCCAAGGUUCCUAGCCUCUGCAGAGUCAGUCACAUGUAGGUAAGGGAAGUCGGCAAACUCGAUCCGUAACUUCGGGAAAAGGAUUGGCUCUGAGGGCCGAGCUGGGCCGGGCCUUGCCUGCAAAGCAGUACCUAUAGUGACCGGAGUUGCAGGAGUGCGAGGGGCUCUAGUAACUGCUCGUGCGUGUGUGUGCGUUCGCGCGUGUGCAUGCGUGUGGGCACGAACGAGUCCACCUCUCCGCUCCAACCACGAACGGCUGUGACGGCAAGGGCUCUGGGCGGGAGCUAUCGGUCCGUUCGCCCCAGCUUGUCUGGGUGGCGGCGGUGCUCCGUCUGUCCCAUACGGCUCCAGCAGCCAGCGGCUAACUCAGAACUGUCAUGGACCAAGGGAAUCCGACUGUCUAAUUAAAACAAAGCGUCGUGACGGCCCC
rnacentral:rRNA from 1 species